rnacentral:misc_RNA from 1 species
UCUCUCUCUCUCUCUCUCUCUCUCUCAACUGCUGGAAUCGGCCACUAAUGGAAGACCCGUCUUCCAAGGAGGAGAUCUCCAGAGUCCUCAAGGUCCUUGAAGCUCUCAGACAAGCCUCUCACGAUCUCCAAGCCCACCCCAUUCCUAGGACUGCUGACUCCAACUCACCCGCCAUUAAAGCUCUGUUAGAGCUCCAAACUGAGUCUGACACCAUCCUCUCCAAAGAUCCACAUCUCUCUACUCUUUCACAACAUCUCACCAGCCUUAGAACCCUCGUUGACACUCGUCAGAAAUCCCGUGGUUAUAGCCUUCGGAAUUUCUUGACUCGCCGAGUAUCCACCCACUCCAUCUCGCGAGUCGCUGGGUCGAUUGAGUCUGAGAUUCAAGCCUGGAUCGAUCGUGAAA